rnacentral:rRNA from 1 species
GACGAACGCUGGCGGCGUGCUUAACACAUGCAAGUCGAACGGAAAGGCCCUGCUUUUGUGGGGUGCUCGAUUGGCGAACGGGUGAGUAACACGUGAGUAACCUGCCCUUGACUUUGGGAUAACUUCAGGAAACUGGGGCGAAUACCGAAUAGGAUCUCCUGCUGCAUGUUGGGGGUUGGAAAGUUUCGGCCGUUGGGGAUGGACUCGAGGGUUAUCAGCUUGUUGGGGGGGUAGUUGCUUACCAAGGCUUUGACGGGUAGCCUGCAUGGGAGGGUUACCGGGGACAUUGGGCCUGAGGUACGGACCAGUAUCCUACGGGCGGCAGCAGGCGGAAAUAUUGCACAAUGGGCGGAAGCCUGAUGCAGCAACGCCGCGUGCGGGAUGACGGCUUUCGGGUUGUAAACAGCUUUCGACUGUGACGAAGCGUGCGUGACGGUAAUGGGUAAAGAAGCCCCGGCUAACUACGUG